rnacentral:rRNA from 1 species
AGUGGGGAAUUUUCCGCAAUGGGCGCAAGCCUGACGGAGCAAGACCGCGUGGGGGAGGAAGGCUCUUGGGUUGUAAACCCCUUUUCUCAAGGAAGAAGUUCUGACGGUACUUGAGGAAUCAGCCUCGGCUAACUCCGUGCCAGCAGCCGCGGUAAUACGGAGGAGGCAAGCGUUAUCCGGAAUGAUUGGGCGUAAAGCGUCCGCAGGUGGCCGUUCAAGUCUGCUGUCAAAACCAGGGGCUCAACUCCUGACCGGCAGUGGAAACUGAACAGCUAGAGUGCGGUAGGGGCAGAGGGAAUUCCCGGUGUAGCGGUGAAAUGCGUAGAGAUUGGAAAGAACACCGAUGGCGAAGGCACUUUACUGGGCUAUUACUAACACUGAGAGACGAAAGCUAGGGUAGCAAAUGGGAUUA